rnacentral:rRNA from 1 species
AUUGAACGCUGGCGGCAGGCCUAACACAUGCAAGUCGAGCGAGCGGCGGACGGGUGAGGAAUGUCUGGGAAACUGCCUGAUGUAGGGGGAUAACUACUGGAAACGGUAGCUAAUACCGCAUACCAUCAGAUGUGCGCAGAUGGGAUUAGCUAGUGGGUUGGGUAAUGGCUCACCUAGGCGAAGAUGCAUAGCUGGUCUGAGAGGAUGACCAGCCACACUGGAACUGAGACACGGUCCAGACUCCUACGGGAGGCAGCAGUGGGGAAUAUUGCACAAUGGGCGAAAGCCUGAUGCAGCCAUGCCGCGUGUGUGAAGAAGGUCUUCGGGUUGUAAAGCACUUUCAGCGGGGAGGCGUUACUCGCAGAAGAAGCACCGGCUAACUCCGUGCCAGCAGCCGCGGUAAUUC